GAAUUUGCAUUGGCAGCGAAACGGACGACUUUGUCGGGUGUCUGCGACUCUGCAAGUAGAAUUUCUCUAUGCGAAAAACGGCGCGCUGCACGCAUUAUUUUCCCGUUGUUGUAGUCGUCGUCGUUGUCUUUGUCGUUUUCUGAAAAAUGAUUUUCUUAGUUCUUUUUGCCUCUAUGCUCUCAAUCACUUGGCACGACUUAUGCAUCGUAUCGAAUUACAAAAACAAACAACAAGUAUAACUCGAUACAGAAAUACAAAUAAAAAACCACUUAAUGUGACUAAAAUAUUGCAUACUAAAAAUUUCAAAACACAAUGAGGAACACAACAGAAAAUUGUUUUGUGCGCAGCACAAGUUCUUGCAACACGAGUGAAAACUAUUGUUCCUGCCAAAGAUUACACGAAACGAAUCGAAAAACUACGCACAAUAUACGAUCCAAUAUUCUUGCUGAAAGUAUAACAUUCCUGCAUCUAUGCGUCCUGCUGUUGCUCUGCCUGAGCUCCACACUGGCCGCACCACAAAGCUCCUGCAUACUCUGUGAUAAGGAGGAUUUGAGGUCCAGGGAGCAGCCAACAAUCAGCGACAGCUAUGAGGAGUUUACAUUUGAUCAUCAGGUGACACGACAAGAUGCCAUUCAAGCGCUGCGCAAGUACAACGAAACGCUUGGUGGCGCACAAAACUCUUGCAACUCAAUGCAGUGCACGGCGACUGUGAUGAAAUAUUGCUUGGGUUUACAGUUCCUAAAUGAUCAUUGCUGGUGCGAGCUGCAGCACAGAGAAGAGGGUCUGCCCUAUGUGCCGCAUAUAUGUUAUGUGGGCGAGAAGGUGUACAAACCAUCGGUGGGUUCCUGUUUCUUCUUUGAGGAAGUCAAGGAAUGCUGUUGCGCAUCCGCUUUGGUCCGCGAGUGGCGACAUAUAUCAGGCGCUUCAUUUACAAUACCAACAACCAUAUUGAGCACGUCGCUGGCAUUAUUGAGUUUACUGCACUGGCGGAGCAGGAGGCGUUGCAUUUGUUAAAGUUGAGAAUUGGGCGGGUCCGUGGAUUGGCAUACAAUCUAGUAAAACAUAGUCAUAGUCGUGUAGUCAUCGAGCGGUGCAGCGCGGCGCCUAUUUAGCCAUUAAUAAGUGUACUUAGUUCAAAAUGUCCAACACAGAUCAAACUUACUUGAUGCUUUAUCCACUUUGAUAAUUGGAAUACGGAAUUAAUCCAUGAUCUGAAGCGUUUCGUGGACUUUGAAUCAGCGUAAAUUCAAAUGGGAGAAUUAGACCAUGAUCUGAAACGUCGUGUGCACUUUGAAUUGGAAAAGCAGAUUUGGAACUGCUUCAUAAUCAAUCCCAGGAAGCCACUCCAGCGGCAAUUGAUUCAGACAUAAUAUUUCAAUAUUUUAAUAUCUAUUUCAAUGGUAUAUAAAAAUAAACUUAUAAACAACA